rnacentral:lncRNA from 1 species
GGCUACGGCUCCGAUUAGACCCCUAGCCCGGGAUCCUCCAUAUGCCGAAAGAGUGGCCCAAGAAAUGGCAAAAAGACAAAAAAAAAAAAAAAAAGUAAAAAGAAGGAGCCAGAAUAUAUAGGAGUUUUACAAAAACAAACCAUCUAGUUGAACAUCAAAACUUUUUUUUUUUUGGGAAGUCAGCCUUUGCUUGAUUGUUUUUUUUCUUUUUUUUUUUUUUUUUUUUUUUGUCUUUUUAGGGCCGCACCAGCAGCAUAUGGAAGUUCCCAGGGUAGGGGCUGAAUCGGAGCUAUAGCUGCCAGCCUACGCCACAGCCACAGCAACUUGGGAUCCAAACUGAGUCUGCGACCUACACCACAGCUCAUGGCAAUGCCGGAUUCUUAACCCACGGAGUGAGGCCAGGGAUCAAACCCACGUCCUCAUGGAUCCUAGUCAGGUUUGUUAACCACUGAGCCACAACGGGAACUCCCAAAACAUUUCUGCUAAUGAAAGAAAAAAACAAAUACCUGGAAGUUAAUGAAUUAGCGUUCUUCUAUGAAUGGGAAGAUGAUCGUGUCUGGGCUUAAUGAACUUACUCCUUUGAUGUGCACCUCAGCUCUCUAGGGUCAGUAUCCUUUUUUGUCCUGAGUCCCCUCAAGGUGCACCGUUGGGGCCUGUUGAUCACCAUCCUGAGUUCCCUCAGGGUGCACUGUUGGAGGUGGUUACUGUGGCUGAUGGCUUGAUGGCCACAAAUCCUUUGUUUACUGGAUUGGAAGACAACCUUUUUUGUUUACAUCCCAAACCUUUAGUAUCUACCCUUGGUUCCUGUGUUACAGCUGGCCAGUGUUACUAUUACUGAGCUUGUGUGUUUUCUCCUAGUGUCUGUGAGCAUGUCACAUGAUCUACUCCUAAGUUGUUCACUAGUCCAGUGUUUUCUAAAGUGUGGUUAGCACACCUCCAGGAGGUUGAGUAAGUAUCAGAUGACCAAGCAUUUCACAAUUCUAACUGUAGUAGUUAUAUAUUUUAAUGUAUGUGUGUAUAUUUUUAAAUGUAACUGGCCUAUCAGGCUGGUAUUUGCCUGAGGGAAUCUAAGUAAAAUAGGGAAGCAAUUUAAAGAAAUGCAUUGAAUACAGAAUAGUAGAGGUGGUAUUCAGGAAUGUCCAACACUGUGACAAUGACUGAAAUAUGGUAAACACUAAUACUGCUGAGUUGUGGCUAGCUAGUGCCACAUGAUCCAGAAAGGAGACUUAAGAAGCACAUUUCUUUCCAAAAUAGCCCUGGGGCCUGUGCUCUUCCCCCAGCUGGAAUGGAAGCUAAGGUUUGCCCAGUGCUGGCCUCUCAGUGUUUUUGUGGAAUGGACGUAGAACUCUUUCCAGUCUGGUUGGAGUUAGCCAGUUCUGAGUUGCAAGAGGCUGUGUGCAGAGUGUGGGAACCAGAGAAGCAAAGCAAGCCUUGUGGAAACUGCUUCCCUCUUAGAGCUGUGCUUCUGCCCCAGAGAUCUCCCUUCUUUUGCACUUUUGCUCCUGUUGCUCUGAGAUGCAGGGAGGGGCUGAUAACUGAUGGUUAGCUGGAGCAUUGAGUUCUUAGCUUCAGAGAGGCUGCUCAUCUGUCUCAGAACUGCCCCUGGCGCACCUCCAGCCCAGAUAAGUGGCAGUGCAGUGGGGGAGGCAGAUGGUAUCAAAGGUCACUACCAGCUCCCAGAGGCCAGCCCUCUUCUUAGAUUGGGGCUCUUGAGAGCUUCUCAGGAGGUGUCUUCAGUGCAACAUUCCAGAUUGCCCCCUAGGAAUAGAAAAGGCAGCUAACGUUUAUUGGGCACCUCCUAGGUGCUGGAAGGUUUAUAUUUAAAUCUCACAACAGCCUAUGAAAAUAGUAUUAUCCCCAUUCUCCAGAGGCUCCCUCAAAUGAAGUGACUUGCUCAAGUUCCCAUAGUGAGUGGCAGAGAUAGGAGUCAAACCCAGGAUAGUGUGAGGCCAAAGCAAAGAACCAUACUGAGGGAAAGACACCAGCAGGCCUGUCCUCUGGAGACACCGGCCUCACUCUGCUGUUGUCUGGACAUGGCAUGGCUGCCUCUCUUUCCAAACGGAGAGAAGUAAAACUGAGGGAGGCCAGGGUCUUGUAGGCAGGGUCUGCCUUUUUGAAUCCAUGCAAGGGGCAGUGAUCAGCCUGUGUGUGGCAAUGGCCAGGCAACAUGGCUCGCUUCGGGUGCCAGAAACAACUGUAAGCUUUACAUCUUAAACUAAAGAUUCCACUAAAUAAAGAAAAAUAGGAAACGUAUAGCCCCUUCCUGACCAGCCCAACCUUGUGUAUUAAAACCAAUUGUAGUACUAAGUAAUAAAGCAUUCCUCUAAAAGAAAGAAGUUUGAAUAAGGCAGACAUUAUACACAGGUUCUGAAACAGCCUCACCUGAGGAAGGGGUCAGGCUCGGCCUGGGUGCAGGGCCAAGAAGAAUGCCCUAAACCAGUCAGAGUCCUAAAUAAAUGAAACUGUCAGAGCAAUGACCACAAACUGGCCUCUCCUCAGCUCAUUUCCUGAGAUAGGAAUACGGUUUAUUGAGCAAUUUCCCUGUGCCAAGUCAUUUUGUUUGCAAUAAACCUAUUAGGCAGGUAAUUUUUUUUGUUCAUUUGGGUUUUUUUUGUUUUUUUUUUUUAAUUUUUGGCUGCACCUGCGGCAUGCAGAAAUUUCUGGGCCAGGGAUCGAACCUGGGCUACAGCUGCAAACCAAGUCACAACUGUGACAACACCAAAUCCUUAACCCACUGAAACACCAGGGAAAUCCCGAGGUGAGUACUAUUAUUUUUCCUAUUUCAUAGAUGCCUAAGGCUUAGAAAGUGACUGGCUGCCAUACCUAAGGUUCCCACUGAGACCCUCUUCUCAAAGGAUUAUAAGCUUGGUGCAGAGCGGAGGAAUACAGUGCAGAUGGAGGCUCUGCCAUUUGUCCCUCCUGUCCCUUAGGAGACAUGAAGAGUGUCUCUCCAAGUGGCAGGGGAAUGCCUGCAUUCUGAAAGGCCUGGACAGGAAGAAAGACAGGGCCCUCCUCAAAUGGGGUCACUCUGGGCUUUAUUUUCCCCAUCCCGCUCCGUCCCAGGACUGACAAAGUUGCACAGAAGCAGGCUGACAAGAGCUGUCCCACAUGAUCAUUAUCAGCCCCUGGCACAUUCCUGCUGCUCAGGGCAGUGAGGACGCAGCCUCCGAGGAGCAAUGCCUCAUGUCAACUUCAUUGACUUUCUGCUUCGUUAGGUCAGUGAGAGGCUGCAGCUUGCACAGAGAGGCCUCUUCAGCACAGCCUAGCAAUUUCCUGAGAGGACCUCCCCAUUGUCCCUGCUGCCAGGGGCAGUAGCUGCAUCUGGUUUCUAUGCAAAGAGUCUGCCCAGGUGCCACCUGGAUUUCAUAUCUUCAAAGCCUGUCUACAGCACAUCUGGCUGUGUGAUUUAGGGCAAGUGCUUUACCUCCCCAAGAUUCAGUACCUGUUUCUGGAAAAUGGGAGUAAUGAUGUUCCCUACCCCACAAGAUGGUUGUGAAGAUUAAAUUAGAUAAUGCAUUGGCAUUCUCCAGUGGUGGUGCACAGGUUAAGGAUCUGGCAUUGUCACUGCAGCAGCUUGGUUACUGCUGUGGCACAUGAUGGAUCCCUGACCUGGGAACUUCCACAUGCCACAGGCAUGCCACCCCUCCCUCCCCCCAAAUUAGAUGAUGCAUGUAAAAUCUCACAAAGUCUGGACCCACAAGAUUUGAUCUAGCACUGACCAGGAAGCCCCCUUCAGCAAUCACAAGUAAUUUCAAAACAGCUCAAAUCCUAGGCUGGCCCUUUGGGCAAACUGAAAGUAGAAUUUAGUGAUGUCUGUAGCAGCAUUUAUCAAGAAUCUUCUUUCCUGUCAGAGCUCCUUUCAUCCUUAAGGAGAAGUCAGGCCAACUCUUCCAAUCUCCCACCUCCAAAAUUCCCUGGAGACAUUUUCUCUUCCUCUUUAUUAUAUAGAUUAACAUCCUUUAGACUCAAAUCAUUCUUCCCACCACCAGUCUAAAUACACAUAGUCUUCCCCAACUGGGUAUUAUUGAUUCUGUAUCACAAGAGCCCAAGGAACAAGUUGAGCAGAAGCCAAACUCCCACCUUGGGAUUGGGAGAAGAACUCUUUAUUCCCACAAUUGAAUUUUUUGUUAUUUUUAUAAUUUUUUGUUAAAGUGUAGUUGAUUUACAAUGUUGUGCCAAUUUCUGCUGUACAGCAGAGUGACCCAGUGACAGAUAUAUACACAUUCCUUUUCUCAUAUUCCAUCAUGUUCUAUCCCAAGAGACUGGAUGUAGUUCACUCUGCUAUAGAGUAGGACCUCAUUGCAUAUCCAUUCUAAAUGUGAUCAUUUGCACCUACUAACCCCAAACCCCCAGUCCAUCCCACUUCUUCCUCCCUUCUGCUUGGUUGGCAACCACAAGUCUGUUCUCUCUCUGUGAGUCACACAACUGAAUUUCAGGCUUCCUCCCAGCAAUGUGCACAGAGGGCUGAGAGGAGGAGCUGGCCGAACCAGGAGCAGUUCCACUUUGCAUUCUGAUUUGGCUUUCUCCUGGAAAUGGAAUCUCUCUGAAGGGGCCUCCCCAGUUCUCGACAUUGUGGCAGUAAUGUUAGCUCCAUCUCUUCUCCUGGGGUCCGCCCCCCCACCCUCCCACUGGCUCUUGAGUCUGUCUCCAUAUUGAUAAACACCCACCCUGCUAAAAGCUUGCCAGCUCCUCAGAUGCCCCAGGGGCCAUUUUAUGGGGUGGAGGUUAGUAAGGAUCUGGGAUUAUUGCCAUUAUCCAUGGCAAACUAUCUCCUGGACCACCACCACCCCCUGUGCCAGGAAGAGCAAAGUCUGAAGCCAGCUAACACAUUGUGAAAUUCUCACCUGUCGCCCAUUACCCUAAACCAAAACCCCACUGUCUUCCCUGAGAAAUGAAUUCCACAUGGGAGAGAGAGAAUGGUUUCCAAAGAAUCCAGCCUGACCCAUUUCAGGACCUUUCUCAAAAACCUGCCACUGGGCCUGAAGCCUUCCGGGGCAACCCAGCUGGGCUUCCUCCCUCGGCUGUUCCUAACUUCCAGGGAUGACAGGGGGGUGUGAUGGGCCCACAGUGACAGUCAGCCCCACUGGGGUCUGCAAGGGAGCCCUGCCAAGGAUGCUGGCUCUGGAUUGUCGCCCAAGGCAGGAAGCUCUGGCCUAUGGUUACCAUGGAGAUCUUGGCACAGCCUGUGUCCAUAUGUGGUUGACAGGCGGCCUCCCUUAGGAAAUGAGAAAGAUUUGAUUUCUUGAGAACUGACUCAGCUUGGGUGGAGAGUCUGACAUGAUGGACCUGCAGCUAAGGGGGCCACAGAGGAGGCUAAGGCUGGGUGCUCUGUGAGAAUAGUGCUCUAUUGAGGUGGCCUCCUACCAGUCCUAUUGCUUUAAUGACUGGGGUGUGGCCUCCUGCUGAGUGAGGCCUCUCUGCCAAGCUGCCAAUUCCAAGUAAGGGCUGUUCAAAGAGGCUCUAGUUCAGUGGAAAAACCCCAGAAGUCAGAGCUGGAAGUGGAGCCACACCCACAGUGCCAGAGAAAGCCUGGGCUUGUGGAGAAGGCCAUGGUGUCUGGUACGGAGGAGAAAGCACUAGACUAGGUGGCAGGUUCCUGUCCUUUAGCCACUACCCGAAACACUAAGGUAGAGUUGAAAGCACUUCACUUUCCUUGCCUCUCUGGGCCCUAAUUUCCCACUGAGCAAUGAUGUCUGUCUUCAGGCCAGUAGGAUUGCUGAGGGCCCUACAAUACAGGCAAUGUGGGGCAGCGGAAACGAACCCUUCUAGGAACCAUGAAGGUGAGGGUUCAAGCCCUGGCCUCGCUCACUCAGUGGGUUAAGGAUCCAGUGUUGCUGUGAGCUGUGCUGUAGAUAACAGAGGUGGCUUGGAUCCCGUGUUGCUGUGGCUGUGGCGUAGACCAGCAGCUCUAGCUCCGAUUCAGCCCCUAGCCUGGGAACCUCUAUAUGCUGUAGGUGCAGCCCUAAAAAGCAAAAAAAAAAAAAAAAAAAAGAUGAUAUAGUUUAAAAAAAAAAAGGGCAGGUGCGAGGGGCUGAUCUCCCUCCUAUUCAAUGGAAGGCCAAAUCUGUGAAGGCCUUUCCUAGGCUUUCAUCCCUCUGUGGCUAAAACCGGAGGAUGAGCUAAGUUAAAAUGUCCUUUAAGAGGGCCUGACACUGCAAGUGUGUUUGUACAAAGGGCAGAGUUUGGCCCCGCACACACGUGGGCUGUGCAAGGCUAACGGAGCACCAGCAAGAGGGAGGCUGAUUAGAUAGGGCCCUGAAGCAGCCCUGUGGAUGGACAGGUGAGUUGUCUGGACCUUCCUGCAGCCCUGGAUGAAAGGCCUUGAGAAGUAUUUAUCACAUUUGCCCUUUGAUAUUUAUUCCAGGAACAAAAAGCCAACUGCUUUCCAGGUUGUGAGGCACCCCAUAAAAACAGAGCAGCAGAGUAGCGUAGGAUAAGAAAAACUAGACCAGGAGUUUGAAAUUCAUCAGACUGCUUUCCAGCUAUAAGGUCUGAAGCAAUUACAUUUUUUGAGGUUUGGUAGUCUCACCAGUAAAACGGAGAUAAACAUUCUAGUUCAACUUUCCUCUCCUGAUUGAGGUAAAAAUACCAUGAGAGGGAGUUCCUAUUGUGGCUCAGCAGUAAUGAACCUGACUAGUAUCCAUGAGGAUGCAAGUUUGAUUCCUGGCCUGCUUCAGUGGAUUAAGGAUCCUGCCUUGCUGUGUCUGUGGGGUAGGCUAGCAGCUACAGCUGCAAUUUGACCCCUAGCCUGGGAACUUCCGUAUGCCACCAGUGUGGCC